GCAAGUCGAGCGAGAAUUUAUUUGAUGGAGACUUCGGUUAAACCCAAAUGAAGGAAAGCGGCGGACGGGUGAGUAACGCGUGGGCAACCUGCCCUGUAUAAAGGGAUAGCCACUGGAAACGGUGAUUAAUACCUUAUAAGACUACGGAAACACAUGUUUCAGUAGCCAAAGCUCCGGCGAUACAGGAUGGGCCCGCGUUUGAUUAGCUAGUUGGUGGGGUAAUGGCUCACCAAGGCGACGAUCAAUAGCCGACCUGAGAGGCUGAUC
rnacentral:rRNA from 1 species